rnacentral:rRNA from 1 species
GGAUUGAACGCUGGCGGCAGGCCUAACACAUGCAAGUCGAGCGGUAGAGAGGUGCUUGCAUCUCUUGAGAGCGGCGGACGGGUGAGUAAUGCCUAGGAAUCUGCCUAGUGGUGGGGGAUAACGUUCGGAAACGGACGCUAAUACCGCAUACGUCCUACGGGAGAAAGCGGGGGACCUUCGGGCCUCGCGCCAUUAGAUGAGCCUAGGUCGGAUUAGCUAGUUGGUGAGGUAAUGGCUCACCAAGGCGACGAUCCGUAACUGGUCUGAGAGGAUGAUCAGUCACACUGGAACUGAGACACGGUCCAGACUCCUACGGGAGCAGCAGUGGGAAUAUUGGACAAGU